rnacentral:lncRNA from 1 species
AGUGGAGAAAGUUCAUUGCUCGACGGUUCAUGAAAACAACCAAGAUUUUCACUCUCUGCUCGAUUUCAAGAACAAUAUCACCAAUGAUCCAAAAGGAGUCAUGAACAGUUGGACCAACAACACCCACUUCUGCAGUGGAACAGUGUGAAGUGCACCUUGACGCCACCAUAUGGUGGCACGGAGCUCAACCUCUCCUACAACAACUUAGCUGGCCAAAUCUCCUAUCUUGGAAACCUGACCUAUCUUAAUUUGCUGGCUCUACCAAAUAAUAGAUUUGGUGGCCUAAUCAAAUAUGUACUAGGAUCAAGUCUCACACAUAUGAUGACUCAUGGUACAGAAACGAAUGUCAAAUCUUUAUUAUAUAAUAGAAGUUCUGUACAAAAUAGCUAAAUAAUUACAUUAUACGAAGACAACGAUCCUCCGCAACCAUAGUUGACUGGGAGACAAUGGCCUAGACCUCUCACGAACUCAUCGCGACAUCCUUCAUGGUCCUCAUCUUGGCGGUACGUGUACUUGACCUGGGGGUGUGAGUACAACAAGUGUGAGCUCACAUACGUUCAUCGCUCAACAAGUGUGAGCUCAACAAUUUACGGUGGGGGCUCAUGUGAAGUCUAAGGCUUACAAAAGAAGAUAGUUAAAGCUAAGCAUUGCUUUUGAUCAAAAAUUUUAUUAGCAGUUACUAAGUAUAAGUAGAUACCAACCCAGAUAAAUAAGAGAUCGAAAUUAAUAAUAAAACUCACAAUGCAAUGCAUAUGACAUAUUAAGUUUAAUUCCAUAAGUUAAUCAUGCGAGAGUCCUGAGUUGCUCUUGACCGCGAGCACGACUGAUUACCAGUUUUACACUCUGUAGAGGUUGUACAUCUUUACCCACAAGUCGUGUCAUGUUACCCAUUUGCUAAGGGGUCACGACUUCCCAUUCAUCUCUACCGAGGAGAUGAGGCAUGGUAGCACUACGAGACCUUUCCAAAGUUCCACUAGUUUGAGAAAACCCGCUACGGAUUCAGGAAGAAGGAAGCAUAGGAAUCCCUCGUGCGAAAAGCUUCAUAGACAGUUCGACCCGAGGACCUCUCUAUACUCUAUAGUGACACACUUCCUGCUUGCUCCUUUCGGGUAAGGUAAUCUCUCCCUAUCUUUUCUAAUUACUUGGCCAAGGGCGUCCCAUUCCACCCUUGUGGUAGCACUGUUAUCUCAAGUUAAACUCCAUGUUCUAUAUAACACAAUAAUCUUAUCAUGAACAAUAGUUAAACCAACAAUAUUAAUGGAACAAGAUCGUAAUUCAGAUAUAACAUUAAUCUCAAAACCAGUUAGAGUAACAGCAAGUCUACCCAAUAGUUCAUUUGUUUUGCAAGGUGUGAGGUAAACAAAAUUAGGGUAACCUAUUAGGUCCCAUCAUAUUAACCUGAGCAUGUCACAAUGAUUAACAUGAACAUUAUUAGGUAAAGAAGAGUGGUCAAGAACAUAACUUGCCUGUGACUUGAGAUUCCAAGUACUUCACCAAGUUGGUCUUCAGGUUUCUUGUGACCUCGCUCUGCUUGUAGCAAUUCAUACAAAUAGAUAAGGAGUACAUGAAAAUAACAUUACACCAAACAUGAGAACAAACAACGUAAGAAUAUUCUACGCGUUGCUACGAGAUCGCAGACUUGAGAACCACUAAAACGGAGUUACGGUGGAAAAGAUAUGGUUUUCUCAUGGUUUAGAUGAUUAAACAAUAAAACUAUAUUUUAUUAAUAUAAGUCACAUCAUCGUAUCAUAAAUAAUUGUAUCAUAAAUAAUCACAUCAUGUCUGUCGAUUAAAUUAAAGCAAUAGCAUAAAGCUAACCAUAAAAACCGAAAGGUAAAUAAGGAUAAGGUAAAUAUAGACUAGUCAAUCCUUAGGUUUCAAUAAUGUAAUACGGGACGGUGAAUUAAAAAGUAAGUAGGACAUAAUAGGUCAGAGGACACUUGACUUCACCAAACACAUGUUCAGGGUCUUCAACCUUGGAGAACUCAAAUAGCCUGAUCACUUGGUCAUCGAAGCUUGACUAUCGAUUUCUCGAAGCUCGAGAAUGGAUCGCAUUCUAAUCGCAACACGAAGCGAAGAAUAAUAGGCACAAGAAAACAAACAUAUAUGCAUAAGAACAAUACACCAUACAAAGGAAAACAUUAUAAAACGUGCAAUACGAAAUAGAGCUUGCUACUACGGUCACGCAAGGAAAGGAGACGCGAUAGUCGGAGCUACGGUGGAGAAGUUAGCGCGUUCACACUAAACAAGUAUUAAUUAGAAUAUUUAAUUUGACAUACUUAUAUUAAUUGACCUUUAUCAGAUGUAAGUUAGAACUAUUAUUUAGUUUUGACUAUCUUAUUAUUUUAGUAGCGGACGAUUAAACAAAUCAUUAAUUAGCCGACACGAGUGGUUAUAAGCGAAUGAUUUAAUAUCACGCACGGGCAACACGCUAUACGAGCGAACGAUCCGUGGCAAGGCGAGCAACGCACGAAAACGACGCGCACGACAUACACAGAAAUGGUGCGCGCGACACACACAAACGACGCACGACAACUCGUGGAAACAGCACUCGCGACACACGUGAAUGACAUGCGAUGAUGCGCGCGAAACAUUACGCGCGACAACACGCAUGACAUGCAAGGAUCACUAACAGAUAUCGCGUUUGAACCAAGCGAAUAUUAAAUCAAGGUCAUUUAAGUUGACAUUAAUUAUGUUAACGUUUACUUAUAAUAGCCCGAUUUAAUAAUUAUAAAUUAUUUUCGAUAGAAAAACUAACAUUAAAAUAUUAGCUAAACAAAUAUUUAAUAAAUUAUUUAAAACAUGUGACAUGAUGAAACAGCUUUAUUAAAGUGUAGACAAAGAUAAUACGAGGCUAACAGAACUUGAACAGUACUAAAUAGAUGAUUAAUGCCAAGAGUUAUCGCCUAUUUAAUAAACUAGGGGUCCAUACACAAUUAAACCUAUACUUCAUGGGCUAGCAACUAAAUUUCGCAAGGAUAAGGAAAUAGUAUACUAGCUUCAUAAAAAACAAGGGAUUUUGCGCAAAAGAAAAGAGGUAACUGGUCUACUGCGAUACCAGGAGGGAUCUGAGUGAGCUAGGGUCAAGCCACAUGACGACAUGCAAAGAUGUGGCCGCAGAGGGAUCAAUUGGGAUCUCGUGCGGAGCAUUGGACAUGGCAUGGUGCAAGCUCACUACGGAGGGCACUAUGGCUGGCCGACCAGCUCCCAGGCGGCCACGGCUGGCAGUGGGAAGGAGCAACGAUGACUGGUGCCGACGUGCAGGGGCCUCGACCAUGGAGCCUCGCCGCCGCAAUGGGCUCGGUCAAGGCUGGCCAUGGUGAGCGCAGAGAAGGGCAUGGGAGAGAGAGGGGUAAGUGACGGGCUUCACCUCACAACGAUGAACAAUAGUGAGAGCAUGGAUGACGACACAUGGAGCUUCAGCGGUCGACGCGACGCGAGCUUCGGAUGGGUCGGCGAGGGACGACCGCGAUGGGUGCGCGCCAAGGGAAAAGGACGAGAUGAGGGAGAGAGGGAGGAGAAGGUGGAGUAGUGCAGGCGUGGGGCGCGUUUGGCGGAGGGAGUAGUUUAGGAAUAUGAAUAGUG